GCCAGGCGGGGUGGUGCACACCUGUAAUCCCAGCAGCUUGGGAGGCUGAGGCAGGAGGAUCGAGAGUUUAAGGAUAGCCUGGGCAACUUAACAAGAGCCUGUCUCAA
rnacentral:sRNA from 1 species